rnacentral:rRNA from 1 species
AUUGAACGCUGGCGGCAGGCCUAACACAUGCAAGUCGAACGAGUGGCGGACGGGUGAGUAAUGUCUGGGAAACUGCCUGAUGGCGGGGGAUAACUACUGGAAACGGUAGCUAAUACCGCAUACCAUCGGAUGUGCCCAUAUGGGAUUAGCUAGUAGGUGGGGUAAAAGCUCACCUGGGCGACGAUCCCUAGCUGGUCUGAGAGGAUGAACAGGCACACUGGAAGUGAGACACGGUCCAGACUCCUACGGCAGGCAGCAGUCGGGAAUAUUGCACAAUGUGCGAAAGCCUGAUGCAGCCAUGCCGCGUGUAGGACGAAGGCCUUCGGGUUGUAAAGUACUUUCAGCGGUGAAGCGUUACCCGCAGAAGAAGCACCGGCUAACUCCGUGCCAGCCGCCGCGGUAAUUC